rnacentral:rRNA from 1 species
GAUGAACGCUGGCGGCGUGCCUAAUACAUGCAAGUCGAGCGAACGGACGAGAAGCUUGCUUCUCUGAUGUUAGCGGCGGACGGGUGAGUAACACGUGGAUAACCUACCUAUAAUACUGGGAUAACUUCGGGAAACCGGAGCUAAUACCGGAUAAUAUUUUGAACCGCAUGGUUCAAAAGUUAAAGACGGUCUUGCUGUCACUUAUAGAUGGAUCCGCGCUGCAUUAGCUAGUUGGUAAGGUAACGGCUUACCAAGGCAACGAUGCAUAGCCGACCUGAGAGGGUGAUCGGCCACACUGGAACUGAGACACGGUCCAGACUCCUACGGGAGGCAGCAGUAGGGAAUCUUCCGCAAUGGGCGAAAGCCUGACGGAGCCACACCGCGUGAGUGAUGAAGGUCUUCGGAUCGUAAAACUCUGUUAUUAGGGAAGAACAUAUGUGUAAGUAACUGUGCACAUCUUGACGGUACCUAACCAGAAAGCCACGGCUAACUACGUG